AUUGAACGCUGGCGGCAGGCCUAACACAUGCAAGUCGAGCGGGGUUUUCGGACCUAGCGGCGGACGGGUGAGUAAUGCGUAGGAAGCUACCCGACAGAGGGGGAUACCAGUUGGAAACGACUGUUAAUACCGCAUAAUGUCUACGGACCAAAGUGUGGGACCUUCGGGCCACAUGCUGUCGGAUGCGCCUACGUGGGAUUAGCUGGUUGGUGAGGUAAUGGCUCACCAAGGCGACGAUCCCUAGCUGGUUUGAGAGGAUGAUCAGCCACACUGGAACUGAGACACGGUCCAGACUCCUACGGGUGGCAGCAGUGGGGAAUAUUGGACAAUGGGCGCAAGCCUGAUCCAGCCAUGCCGCGUGUGUGAAGAAGGCCUUCGGGUUGUAAAGCACUUUCAGCGAGGAGGAAGGGUUGUGUGUUAAUAGCACAUAGCUUUGACGUUACUCGCAGAAGAAGCACCGGCUAACUCUGUGCCAGCCGCCGCAGUAAAAC
rnacentral:rRNA from 1 species